UAAGAUGCAGCUAAAGAUGUUGUGACUGAACGUACAUAUGAUUACAGUUGGUCGGCGAUGAUAAAGUAGAAGCGCGAUAAGUGCAAGCUAAGCUUCAAUCUCACCCAAGACACAAAGGUCCACAAAUGAGAAGAGCAAUCGAGGGAAAGGCCUUUGCAGAGAUUUGCCUAUAAUCAGAGCAAAAAUGCUAGAAGCAAGAGAACAAAGGCUACAUAUAGGUGCCAGGUGGGGGGAAAAGUGCUAAUUGCUUGAUUUUCCUUGCUUUCUUUUGCUUUUCUCGUUAUUGUUUUUAAUGGAAAAUGUAUGUACAGAUAUUGCGCAGUGAAGCGCAGAUAGUGGCCCCCAAAAUGAGGGGUAAAUUCAAUUGGAUUGAAGGCUUAAAUUAGUCGGAGGGAUUCAAUGUGUGCCGCAAAUUGCUUUAAUGGACAACAAAAAACUACUAAAAAAUGAAAGAGAAACAUAAAACGAGACCAAAUAUGACCGUACAUACGUCAAUGAACGCAACCGACAGUCAGUCAGGAGAAGGUAACCCAAAGGGGAAAGAAAAAUAUACCAAGUAGAGAAAAAUAGAGAAUGUGAGAGAGAGAGACAAUGACAAGGCAGCAGCUGAUUCAUGCCGCUUGGAGAUUGGCCAGUGAACAUACGUGUCCAUAUACUAUAAGGAAUACUCUAUAAGGGGAAAGAAAUUGCGUCGUUGGAUUAUUCUUUCACUUCUUAAAGUGUUCUUGAAACGUUUUUCUCCUUUUGUGAAAUGUGUCAAUUGAAAUAUUUAGUACCUACAUAUGCAGAAUGAAUUUCUUUUAAGAUGACGAAGCAACGAUUUGUGGAUACCCUACAAAAUCUAUAUUUUAUGAAAUAAAAUAUUUUAUUCAGUUUGUGCCCAUUUCAAUGUGGAAUGAACGUGAGUCACGCGCAAUUUCAUGAUGAUGACGAUGAGACACGAUGAUGAAUUUUGCUCGAUCGAUUUGCAAAAACUAUGAGAAGGUCAACGUCAUAUUCUCUCGAACUCUCCUCUUUUUUCUCGUUGUCGUUUGGAUAAGGUUUUAGGAGUUAUCAAAUUACUAACUGAUGUGUAUUUAAAAUUAACAACAAUAAGAACAACAGGAAACAAGAGAAUCGAAAAGUGGUAGACACUGAGAAAGAGAGAGAGAGAGAGAAAGAGAAAGGGAGCCAGGCAGUUGCCGAUGACAUCAUGAGGCAAAAGCGAAGCCGCAAAUGAAGAACACAAAAAAUAAAAAAACACAUGAAACAUUCACAAAUAAAAAAAACUAUGGAGACUAGAGACAGGUGCGGUUGCGAGGAUACCUACCCAAGUACGAAUUAUAAUGAAUUAUCAUAGAAAAUAAAACUUACCCAAACCCAAUUUGU